rnacentral:rRNA from 1 species
UACGAAGGGGGGCUAGCGUUGCUCGGAAUCACUGGGCGUAAAGCGCACGUAGGCGGCUUUUUAAGUCAGGGGUGAAAUCCUGGAGCUCAACUCCAGAACUGCCUUUGAUACUGAGAGCUUGAGUCCGGGAGAGGUGAGUGGAACUGCGAGUGUAGAGGUGAAAUUCGUAGAUAUUCGCAAGAACACCAGUGGCGAAGGCGGCUCACUGGACCCGGUACUGACGCUGAGUGCGCGAAAGCG